UUCUUUUCUUCUUUCUUCUUCUUCUUCUUCUUCUUGUUUCUUCUCUUCUAGUUCUCUGUUUCUGCUCCUGUUUCUGAAAUCGAGUGAUAGAAUGGAAGAGUUAGGGUCGGUAGAAGGUGUAGAAGAUUAUGCGGUAGUUGGUGGUGAGGUUGAUGGUGUUUGUUGCGGAUUCAGACUUGAAGGAGGAAGUGAAUUAAGAAUUAGGUUUUCUUAAUAAGUUCUGUGAGGAUGUAGAUGGUGAAAUUGAUUAAUUAGCGAGAAGAUUAGAGAUGGGUUGUGGUUAGAUUAAAGUUCUGAAGUUGUUUCAUUAAUAUUUGAAAAGUUAGGGUUUUGUAAGAAAUUCAAUGAAGAAUUAGAAGACGAACAUGAUGAAAAGGGGAUUGAAUAAAUGAUGGGUUUUGUUGAUUUAAAGAAUUAGGAUGUUAUUUUGUAUUCAAAUCAGGAAGUUUAUGAUUUGGGAAUUAUUUAGGGUUCUUCUGAGAAUAACAGAUAGAGAUGAGGAUUUUGAUAUGAAGGUUAGGGCUCGACUCUGUUAGUAAGAAGGUGAUGACUACUAUUGGUGUUGAUUCAUGACUCAGGGAAAAUGGUAAGUUGAAUUAGAAUUUCUGAAUUUAACCUUGAAUUUCUGAGAAACUGAUUUGAUUCAGUUAUUUAUUGAUAGGUUAUGUUGAGAUUCAGUUAGAUAAUGUUAUGGGGUUUUGUUAUAUUGUCUUUGUGAAAUUGAGUUGAAGUAGUGGAUGAAAUGGUGAAGAUAUUAGUCAAGAAAUAUGGUUUUGUAUUGUUGUAAUGAGAUAUAGUUGAAGUUAAUUUGAUUGCUAGAUAAUUAGUCUGGUUGUGUGUUGAUGUUCAGAGGGGUGUGAUUGAAUUGCUGGUAGUAUUGUGGAAUGAGAUAUGCAGUUGCAGAUUGGUGAUGUUGGUAGGUUGAAAUGGCAGUGUAAAGGAAUGUUAGUAUAAAUGAGAAUGAAGUUUGUUGUUGAACUGAGUUGCAGGUGGAAUAAGAUGGUGAUGUUGUCUGUGUAGUUGGAUUUGAAGGUGGAGAAGGGAAUGUUGUUUGAUCUGUGACAGGUGAAGGAUUGAUGGUAAUGUUUGUGUAACGGAGUUGGUGGUGUUGGAAUGAACUGGUGAUGGUGGCUCUGUAGAUGUUGGUGAUACUUAGGGGUUGUGGUGUGUUACAUAUGUGGUUUUUGCAAUGAAUUGCAGGUCUGAAGGUCGUAAUGUUGCAUAGUCAGUUUGGUUACAAGUAAUUGUUGAGCUAGUGGAGAUCUCUCUUGAGAGUUUACUUUGUGGUAUUGUUUUCGAGGUGAUGGAACUGAAAUGGUUGUAGCAUAGUGGUAUUGAGUGUUGUUGUGUGUGGUUCAGAGAUGGUUGAAUUGUGAUUGGAGUAUGAGAAGAUUGGUUAGCUGUUGUUGUGGAAAUGAUGUUUUUGCUGUAGUAUUAUGGAGUGCAGGAAAGGGGUUAGUGGUCUGUUGUUGAACUGUUAAUGUCGGGAUUCACAACUGCAGGGGCAUUGCAGUGGCAAUUCAGUUGUGUGUGUAUGGAUUAAGUGUUGUCGAGAUGAUCUGGGUUUGCUUAAAGCUGCAAGUGCAGUUAUUCUAUUAACAACAAUCGAAUCGAAGGAUGAACCAGUGGAUCGUGGAUCUCGAGGUAGGCGUGGCUUGUUAUCAAAAGAGGGCAGGUGUUCAGACGAAAGUUGAAGCAUAUUUGGGUGUCUUGUCUCGCGAUGGUUGUGAUUCUAGACCUGCAGACAUUCACGUCUACAAUUGAGAGGAAGGUCGCGAUACCUGUUUAGAUGUGACAGAGGUUUCUCCUUUUGCAGGCGGUGGUGUAGAAGCUUUUACACCGGGUCUUUCCUUGAUUAAAGUCGUUGAGCAUAAAAGGAGCAAAUACCUUGAUGUAUGUAGAGUCAAUGGAUAGUUUUGGUACUUUGGCGUUUUCUAUCUUGGGUGAGCUUGGAAAUGAAACUAUAGAGUUUUUGUUAAGAUUAAUGACGUUAAUAUUAAAGUUCGCAAAAUUUUUUAUUAGAGUAGGUUUAGCUAUCCAAAAAGGUGUUGGAACGCAACUUGUUGCAAGACUACCGUCUAGUUUCUUGUAAAGAUUCUUUUCGUUUCGUUUUAA